GACGAACGCUGGCGGCGUGCCUAAUACAUGCAAGUCGAACGCUGAAGGAGGAGCUUGCUCUUCUGGAUGAGUUGCGAACGGGUGAGUAACGCGUAGGUAACCUGCCUGGUAGCGGGGGAUAACUAUUGGAAACGAUAGCUAAUACCGCAUAACAGUAGAUGUUGCAUGACAUUUGCUUAAAAGGUGCAAUUGCACCACUACCAGAUGGACCUGCGUUGUAUUAGCUAGUUGGUGGGGUAACGGCUAACCAAGGCGACGAUACAUAGCCGACCUGGGAGGGUGGUCGGCCACCCUGGGACUGAGACACGGCCCAGACUCCUACGGGAGGCAGCAGGAGGGAAUCUUCGGCAAUGGACGGAAGUCUGACCGAGCAACGCCGCGGGAGUGAAGAAGGGUGUCGGAUCGUAAAGCUCUGUUGUAAGAGAAGAACGAGUGUGAGAGUGGAAAGUUCACACUGUGACGGUAUCUUAACAGAAAGGGACGGCUAACUACGUG
rnacentral:rRNA from 1 species